UACGUAGGGGGCAAGCGUUGUCCGGAUUUAUUGGGCGUAAAGAGCGUGUAGGCGGUUUGGUAGGUCCGCUGUGAAAACUCGAGGCUCAACCUCGAGACGCCGGUGGAAACCAUCAGACUAGAGUCCGGAAGAGGAGAGUGGAAUUCCUGGUGUAGCGGUGAAAUGCGUAGAUAUCGGGAGGAACACCUGUGGCGAAAGCGGCGCACUGGACCAUAACUGACGCUGAUGCGCGAAAGCUAGGGGAGCAAACAGG
rnacentral:rRNA from 1 species